UCUUUCACGUGGCAGAUUAUGUGGGCAGGAAAUAUUCUCACUCUUUACCCUGUGGAUGACUGAUUCCAGACCUGACCAAGUGCAAGCAAGCACGUCUCCUCCAUCUAAAUGAUUCAGUGAAUGAUCCAAAUGAUCUGACACCGAGAAAAAGGAGAGAAGGGAAAACUCUGUCCCGGUGUUGCUGGAUGCACCUAACAUUUUUCUUCCUGUUUUCAGCAGGGUGUUUCAGAUCAGACUGGGGAAGGCUGCAGAUCAGUGCACAGGUGACGUCUCUCUAGCAGGUGUUUCAUUUCCAGUAAGCCAGGUUUGUGCCUUGGGAUGAUUCACCGCGACACCCGAGUCCCUUUUAUAAGGGGUGGCCACAACUUUCCGACCCCAUUUUUUCCAAAGCUUUUCAGGCAUAUUUGAGUUCAGCCACUCCAGUUCCGUAACCAGUCUCCCUGCGUGAUGUGUUCAUUUACCAGUUACCUUGGUGCCUUCGUUAGGCUGCGUCCACAGCCUGGAGGGAAGUGAGGAGGUCAGGUUCUGCAGGAGGGAUGCAGCUGAUGGAAAGGGAGCGGAGAGGAUUUAAGCUAUAUUAAGAUUUCAGCACAUCUGCAGCAAGAGAAGAAGCGCUUCCACCAGAAAUGAUCCCUUGGGAGCAGCAAAAGCCUCUGAAGAAGCAAUAUUUGGAUGGGAAACUUAUGUCCUCCAAGCUGGCAAGUUGUAACACCGACACAGCUCAUUCCUGUAGCUGCAAAGCUCUGCCUGCAAAAGGCAGGCGCUGAAAUCCCAGGAGCUGGAGCAUGGAGGGCACAAGCCCAGGAGGGAUCCUUGGGGACAGGGCAAGUCCCUGAAGUCCCCUCCUGCCACCGAGACCACCAGGCUCAGAGGCGGCCUGUGGUGAAAGGAAGCCUGUGAAAACAACCCCAGCAGGAGGCAAGCUUGUUGAACACCCCAGGGAACAAGGCAGUGAGACUGCUCCUGAAUUCUCAGGAGCUGUGAAUUACCUGAGCGAGCAGAGCCCUGAGCAGCAGCAUCACAGCCAGCAUCCGACCAGGGGCUGCACCCAGGGACACCACGGAGCUGCAGGAGGGCACGCACCUGACAGCCCCAUGAAGUCCUCAUCCUGUUAUCUACGUGUCACAAAUAAAUGGAAAGAGGCAAACUGCAAAAUGACUUCACUCCCACCUUUUAGACGAGCCUCUCAGAUAGCAAGUGGCUCCUCAAGAAAGCAUGCACAAUUUAGUGCUAUUUCAGAAGUGAUCUGGCUGCUAAGCUGCACGAGGCUAUCUUCCCAGUAUGAAUCGAGCUCGCCGAGCCUCUGAUGCCAGCUCUUAUCCUCCUUGACCCUGCCUGUUGAUACAAAACCAUGGCAGAAAGUGCUGAUUCUCUCCAGGUGUCAGAAACCCUGAGAACACCAGAGGUUUGGCCCGGCUGGGAUAGCAGGUUUGUUGUCACCAAGUGUUGGUCCUUGUGCGGGUUCGAGGCUGCAGAAAAGCUCACGAGCCCUUUAAAGUCUGCUAAUGUGGAUUUUGUUUUCUUUUGGAGAGAAUGUGUCAGGUACAAAAGAAGAAAACACAAAGCCCUUUACGGUGCUGGGAAGGAAGGUGAUGCCCGGCAGUUGUGGCCAGCUGGCUCAGAAAAUUGUGCCCUUCAGAGCCUGCUUUGCCUGCCGUGGGGUUUUAUCUUUCUUGCUCAAGUCCUUGAAUUAUUUUGAUAAUGAAGAGGCCAGGAGAGGCAUUGCUCUACUCUUUAAAAGCAGUGAAACAAAAUUUCCAACUGUGAGCUUUGGACCGAAUUGUCUGAUGAGGAAAAAAUACAACUGUAAAGGCAAACAAAGGAAAAGGCAGUGCUUCUAAUGGAACUAGCUGUGCAACCACCUGGAAAUUUUGGCUACACCUGUAAAAACUCCAGGAAGCCGCCAGGCCACAAAGGCAAAAUAUCUGCAUGUGGUUUGCACCAGAAAAAGGGAACUCAGGACCAAUUAUAGGAUUGUAACCAGCCUGGUCCUGCCUGGGGCACUGCAGCCGGCAGCAGACCUUGCAUCAGGACCAUCCGAGACCUGGUGCAGCAAGGGGACAGGAGUCGGCCCCUCGCCGAGAUGGGAGGUGUAGGGCUGAGGAAGAUCAUGCUCAUUAGUUUAAUUACGAAGCCCCCCCAGGCCAAGGCAGAUCCCAUACAGACACACGAGACCCUCCUUGCUGCUAUGGUGGCAGCUGAAAGAGCCCGGUACAACCAAGCACCGAGCUCUUUUCCACUUCCCUUCCUACUCUUUGUCUCCUGCACCUCCCCGGUUCUUCAGCUGCUGGAUUGUUUCUCGUCUCUGAUGUAAAAGGCUGGUUCUUACCAUUCCUGAUGCACACUGCUGCUUUCUGACCUGCUCUUGCCUGGUCUCCCUGAAGCAUUAGCAGACGGAUUGAAGUCUGGCAGUGUCUGCUCCUCUACCCACUUCUGAGCACGAAGGUGAAGAGCUACAGAGAAUGAGAGUUGUUUCCUGAAAUAAAAAAAUAAAAUAAAAUAAAAUAAUAAUAAUAAAAAGCAAGCC